AAGAGAAGCACCUGAUCGAAGCCCCAGUAAACGGCGGCCGUAACUAUAACGGUCCUAAGGUAGCGAAAUUCCUUGUCGGGUAAGUUCCGACCUGCACGAAUGGCAUAAUGAUGGCCAGGCUGUCUCCACCCGAGACUCAGUGAAAUUGAAAUCGCCGUGAAGAUGCGGUGUACCCGCGGCUAGACGGAAAGACCCCGUGAACCUUUACUAUAGCUUGACACUGAACAUUGAAUUUUGAUGUGUAGGAUAGGUGGGAGACUUAGAAGCAGUCACGCCAGUGAUUGUGGAGUCAUCCUUGAAAUACCACCCUUUAACGUUUGAUGUUCUAACGAAGAUGACGAAACGUGGUCUCGGACAGUGUCUGGUGGGUAGUUUGACUGGGGCGGUCUCCUCCCAAAGCGUAACGGAGGAGCACGAAGGUUUGCUAAUCACGGUCGGACAUCGUGAGGUUAGUGCAAUGGUAUAAGCAAGCUUAACUGCGAGACAGACAAGUCGAGCAGGUACGAAAGUAGGUCAUAGUGAUCCGGUGGUUCUGAAUGGAAGGGCCAUCGCUCAACGGAUAAAAGGUACUCCGGGGAUAACAGGCUGAUACCGCCCAAGAGUUCAUAUCGACGGCGGUGUUUGGCACCUCGAUGUCGGCUCAUCACAUCCUGGGGCUGAAGUAGGUCCCAAGGGUAUGGCUGUUCGCCAUUUAAAGUGGUACGCGAGCUGGGUUUAGAACGUCGUGAGACAGUUCGGUCCCUAUCUGCCGUGGGCGUAGGA
rnacentral:rRNA from 1 species